ensembl:lncRNA
AAUUUUUCACAAGUAGUAUUUUAUGUCUAUUUCCAACUUGUUUCGUGGCCAAUAUAUAUAUUAGUUUGAUUAGGAAGAAUAUGCAAAAAUAAGAAAAAAAAAAAACAGACAAAAACAACUAAAAUACCUGAACAAACUUGAUAAUGCGUGCACGUUUAAAUGGCUUCCGAAGAAGUAGUAUGUGUUCAUGUGAACUUAAAAUUUAUAAUUUUUAAAUAUAUAGAAAAUGAUGAGAACAACUUAAGCGAUGAUUUUAUAAUAAAUUUAGGAGAAGUUACAGACAGUGAGUUAAGUAAUAGCUCUAAAGUAUAUUUUAUAAAAAAAUUUCAUGACUUGUUAAUAAAAAAAAAUAAAAAAAAUGAAUAUGAAUGUGUAUUGAGCGGAACAAUAACAGAAGUAGCUAAUUUUUUGUUUCAAAAUAUCGAAUUAUAUAUAGAAGUAGUAAAAAGAGGGGAUACUAAGUUAGAGAAUAAAAGUGCUGGAUAUAACAAACGCGUGAGUACCUAUCAAGGUGUAAGUUACCAUUUACAUGAAAAUGAAAAGCAUGUUAUUUAUCAACUAAAUAAAAUAGAUAUAAAUAAUAAUUUAAAUUUUCAAAAUAAUAAAAUCUAUUUUAAAUGUUUAUUUAAAGAUUUGAUAAGCGACUAUGAAUUUUUUAAUAACAAGGAGUAUGAAAAUUUGAACAAUUUUUACAUAAAUGAUGAUUACAUUUUUACAGUGACUGUAAAACUUUCUGAAUGGUUAAUUAAUACCAAGGAUUUAAUGAUUAAUAAAAAAAGAGGUAUGGAUAUAAAUAAAAGCCUCGAAAUGAACGAACAAAGUAUAUACAAUAAUAAUAACAAUAAUAACAAUAAUAAUAACAAUAAUAACAAUAAUAACAAUAAUAAUAAUAAUAAUAAUAAUAGUAAUAAUAACAAUAACAAUAAUAAUAAUAAUAAUAAUAAUAAUAGUAAUAAUAACAAUAACAAUAAUAAUAAUAAUAAUAAUAAUAAUAAUAAUAAUAAUAAUAAUAAUAAUAAUAAUAAACGUGGAAAAAAAAAAUACGAGCACAUCAUAAGCUUGUUUCGAUUACGUAGUACAUUUUAUCUUUCUAUUUAUUUAGAUAAUUAUAAUAAACAAUUUUAUGUAGAAAAUAGUGUAGAAAUAACAGUAGGUUCUAUAAUUCAAACGUUGUAUGACGACAAUAAGGUAAGUGAUAAUGGUGUUGGAACUGACAGUACAAUUAGUAAUAAUAAAAAAAUAGCACCUGCACGCGUUCAUAACAAAUUAAAACGAAAUUCUAUUAACAAUGACUCCGAUGAAAAUGACAUAAAUAAUAGCAACAGUCAUCAAUUAAUUGAUCACAGUAAUAAUAUUAUAUCAACAAAUAGAACUAACUUAAAAAAUGAGAAUAACAACGAAGUUACAUUAUCACAUAUUUGUUACUUUACUUUAAUAUUAGUUGAUGACAUAAAAGAAAUAUAUGACUAUUUUUGUAUUAACAACAUUUUUAUAUAUGUGAAUAAAACGAAACUAGAAAUAGAAAAAGAAGAUUUGAUUUUGUUAUAUAAUCCUAAUGAUCAAUGGUUAUGUUGCAAUAACAUUAAAACCAUGACUUAUAAUAAUUUAACUGCUCAUUCAGAUUAUUCAUCUAUAACCAGUUUGAAAUUUAGAGCUGAGUUUGUAGGUAUUUACUUUAACACGGAGGAGGAAGAAGAAGAAGAAGAAGAAGAAGAAGGAGGAGAGUAUAUCAGUUAUGGUGGUGGUCAAUAUGGAGAGGAUAUCAAAAAAAACAACAUUCAUAAUAAAAAAAUGAUGUUUACUAAUGGUAGUGAAAACGAAUAUGAAAACGCAGGUGGUUGUGAGUAUCAACAUUUUGAAAAUAAUAAUAAUAUCGUAAAUAGUUUUGACAUGAAUUAUGAACCUAACGACUUAUUAAUAAAUGAUGUAAGCUAUUCAAGAAAAGAAAAAAGCCUAACCACAUGUAACAUUUUUAUUUCCAUCCACGAUUGUCGUAUUUUAGAAUUAAGCAAUAUUUACGCAGAUAAGAAAACGAAUAAACAAAAUAACUUUUUUAUAAAAAUGGAAUCUAAUAUGUUUAAUCAUAACAUGAUAUCUGAAAUGUAUUUGUUUGAAGAGGGUAAACUGAUAGAACUCAGAAAUUGCUACUUAAGCUGCGAUGAAGAACUAAACGAAGAUCAACUUAUAGAUUAUAUUGAAAACAAAAAUAUUGAAUUUGAAAUUUGUAUUAAAGAAAAGGAUAGUGAUAUAAAUAUAGGAAGAGGUUUGUUUUGUAUGAAAAGUAUAAUAAAUGAUUUUAAAGAAUUAUUAAAUGGUGAAGAUAUAAAAAGAUAUUACAAGUUAAGUUACUGUGUGCCUUUAUAUUUAAGUGUAUUCAAAGAAAAAUAUUUAACUUCUGAAAUCACAGUUGAUUUUUUUUUUAGUUUUAAGAAAAAGGAAUUGAAGAAGGCUGUGGAAGGUCGAGUACAUGCGGAAACACUUGGACAAGUAGUUGGAGGUGUAGCAGCAGGAGUAGCAACAGGAGUAGUAACAGGAGUAGUGGACACUAAAGAGAUAAAGGCUAAAAUGAUGGAGACCAAAACGAUGGAUACCAAAAUGAUGGAGACCAAAACGAUGGAGACCAAAAUGAUGGAGACCAAAAUGAUGGAUACCAAAGUAGUAGAAGUUAGAGCGGGUGGUACAACCUUAGUACCAGUACCCAUUGCUAACCUCCCAAUGGGAAAUAAAAUUCCAUCAAAUAUCUACGAAUUUAAACUAUGGCAAGAACAAGAGGUAGAUAAGUUGAAUGAUAUUUUAAAAAAAAAAGAACAAAGUAUUAUGACAAAAUUAACAAAAAAAUAUAAAUUAGCAGAAAAAGAAAGGAAAAAUGAAUUAGAAAAGAAAAAAACAGAAAUUAAAGAGUUGUUACUUAAAAUGAAAUCAGAAGAAAUAGAAAUAAUAAAUUCGAAUAAUACAUUAAAACUAAAAGACAAAGAAUUAAAUAAUGAAAUAGAGAUAUUAGCAAAAAAAUUAAAAAAAAUAAAAUAUGCUUAUAAUAAAUCAUUAUCUAUGUUUAUUGAAAAAGUAAAAACGAAAAAUAUAAAUAAAGAUAUAAUAAACGAAAAUGAGAAUUUAAAAUUAAAUCAUAACAAAUUAAUAACAGAAAAUAAUCUAUUACAAAAAGAAAAUGAGAAAAUGAAAGACAUUAUUAACAGAUAUAAUAAUAAAGAUAAUAUAAUAAUAAGCAAAACAUAUUUUGAAGAUUUAAAAGAAGAAAUUAGAGUUUUAAAAUUAUAUAAACAACAAAAAAUGAAUGACAAUAAUAAUUAUGGUGAUGGUAGUGACUCGAUUGGUAGGAUUUAUAGCGAUGGACAAAUCGGAGGUCAUCACCAUAAUCAUAAUGACAUUUACAACAAGACGAACAAAAAUGUAAAACGUUAUAUAAAAUUAGUUCGACUAAAUCGAAAAAAAAUUAUACAUUGUAUUACUAAUUUUACAAUCAGUUUGGAGCAUAUAUACGGUAUUACAAAAAAUGAGGAAGUAGAAGAUAAUUUUCAGUUUUUGUUAAAAAAAAUCAACGAAAUUAAGUUAACGCUUGAUAGGCAAAGUAAAGAAGAAGCGAAGGUAAUGUAUUCUUUGAAGGGGCGAUUAUUGCAAAAUGAUGGUGCUAAUAGGUACGACAGUGGUGGGCAUAGCGAUGGGCAUAGCGAUAGCCAUAGCGAUGGGCAUACAGAUAGCCAUAGUGACGGACAUAAAAUACUGCAUCAUCUUUCCAAUGCGGUCAAAAAUCAAAACAGACGUAAAAAUAGUAGCAUAAAAAGGAGUAGCAUAAAAAAUGAGCAUUACAGAACGUCUUUAUAUACAAACAAAGACAAAAAUAUGACUCCCAAGAUAUUAGAACAAAAGGUAGCAGAAAAAAAACGUGUAUAUUAUCCAAAAGAAAUGAUGAAACAAAAAAAUAAUGACGUAGAUACAAACUUAAAAAACCAUUCAAAAAGAAAAGAUAAGAAACAAAAUGUUCCAACAAAUAAUAUAGAAGAACCGGCACAAGAAAUUAAAAAAAGCAACAUUAAAAUAAUAGAGAAUUUAAAAGGAGAAAUAAAAAGGCUUAUCGAUACGGGUAUAUAUAAUGAGGAUGAUCAAAUAAUCAUAAAUAUGAAAAAAAAACUUAAUGAAAUUUUGAGCUGUAGUCAGGAUUAACCCAAACACUUGAGUUUGGACACGCAAGUCCACUUAUAUAUAUAUAUGUGUGGACACAAACAGGUAGAAAAAAAAAAAAAUGGGAGCUAUAAAAUAUUAACAAAAUGUUACAAUGGUCCAUUUAAAUUAUGUUCGUUCGACUAUAUGUUUGUGUAUAUUGCUUUUUUUUUUUUUUUUUUUUUUUUUUUUUAAAUUGUAAUUGACUUAUUCCAACGGUUUUUAUAAAUACAUACACAUACAUAUGUCUAUAAAACAUACAAAUUAAGCG